UACGUAGGGUGCAAGCGUUGUCCGGAAUUAUUGGGCGUAAAGAGCUCGUAGGCGGUCUGUCGCGUCGGCUGUGAAAACUCGGGGCUCAACUCCGAGCUUGCAGUCGAUACGGGCAGGCUAGAGUUCGGCAGGGGGAGACUGGAAUUCCUGGUGUAGCGGUGAAAUGCGCAGAUAUCAGGAGGAACACCGGUGGCGAAGGCGGUUCUCUGGGCCGAUACUGACACUGAGGAGCGAAAGCGUGGGGAGCAAACAGG
rnacentral:rRNA from 1 species